rnacentral:rRNA from 1 species
GACGAACGCUGGCGGCGUGCUUAGCACAUGCAAGUCGAGCGGUAAGGCCCUUUCGGGGGUACACGAGCGGCGAACGGGUGAGUAACACGUGGGUGACCUGCCCUUAGCUCUGGGAUAAGCCUGGGAAACUGGGUCUAAUACCGGAUAUGACUCCAUGACGCAUGUUGUGGGGUGGAAAGCCUUGUGCGGCUGAGGAUGGGCCCGCGGCCUAUCAGCUUGUUGGUGGGGUGAUGGCCUACCAAGGCGACGACGGGUAGCCGGCCUGAGAGGGCGACCGGCCACACUGGGGACUGAGACACGG